rnacentral:rRNA from 1 species
UACGGGGGAGCAAGCGUUGUUCGGAUUUACUGGGCGUAAAGGGCGCGUAGGCGGCCAGCACAAGUCAGUUGUGAAAUCUCCGGGCUUAACUCGGAAAGGUCAACUGAUACUGUGCGGCUAGAGUGCAGAAGGGGCAACUGGAAUUCUCGGUGUAGCGGUGAAAUGCGUAGAUAUCGAGAGGAACACCUGCGGCGAAGGCGGGUUGCUGGGCCGACACUGACGCUGAGGCGCGAAAGCCAGGGGAGGCGAACGGG